rnacentral:rRNA from 1 species
AAAGUGGGGAUGACGUCAAGUCCUCAUGGCCCUUACUAGUGGGGCUACACACGUCAUACAUUGGCUGGUACAAAGGGUUGCCAACCCGCAGGGGGAGCCAAUCCCAUAAAGCCAGUCGUAGUCCGGAUCGCAGUCUGCAACUCGACUGCGUGAAGUCGGAAUCGCUAGUAAUCGUGGAUCAGCAUGUCACGGUGAAUACGGUUCCCGGGUCUU